rnacentral:rRNA from 1 species
GGCCCGCAGCACGAGUAGUGGUCACUUUUAUUGAGCCUAAAGCGUUCGUAGCCGGUUUUGUAAAUCUUCAGAUAAAGCCUGAAGCUUAACUCCAGAAAGUCUGAAGAGACUGCAAGACUUGAGAUCGGGUGAGGUUAAACGUACUUUCAGGGUAGGGGUAAAAUCCUGUAAUCCCGGAAGGACGACCAGUGGCGAAAGCGUUUAACUAGAACGAAUCUGACGGUAAGGAACGAAGGCUAGGGUAGCAAACCGG